GAUGGUCAUCUGUUCACCUUACAAUUACAGCCGCUCCAUCCAUUGCUCUCGUUUCACUGUUUCAUUUCGCUUUAAUGGUAACCUGAAGAUCGCUUUACAAUUAUAGAUCACACAAGCUAAAGGUGUUUUCUACCGUCGAUUAUCCUCUCUUCGUCGCAUAUACGGUUAUGGUGCAAGUCAGAUGUGUAAGGACUGGAAAACGGGGUGCGGGUCUCAACACUCUCAUCAGUCGCAAUAUUCCGACCUAUCAUGAAAUGAGACGAAACAUUCAAGUUAGAAGGCCAUGUGUUCCAGCAUUGGGUGUCUUGUCGAGUGCAGUUCUUGAGUAUUGAUCUUCUGCUCCAUGUUGAGUACGCUAGACAAAUAAAUCCAUAGCACUAUUAUUAUAUAGGAACAUCAAUAACUGCAAGUACCAUUAUAUAACCUCUAGAGAAGUGGAGAUCAUGUGCACAAAAUGAGGAGCAAACCACCUGGUUACAAAACUGCAAAUAACUGCCACUUCAGCGGUUUUUGUAGGGAGUUUAAAGGGCUGGGAUUUAAUCUCAGCAAGAUCCAAUGGUCAAUAUUGAUUUGGAGGGUGGUUAGACUUAAUGGGUUCCAUAUAUAUAUAUAUAUAUAUAUAUAACUAUGUAAAUCCCCACGCAAAAGUAUUUCAAUUUAACCAUGUAUACUUAUACUUAUAUUGAGAUAAUUGCAUACCAACAA